AGAUGGAUAAUAAAAUAACAAGAAUCUACAGGUCGAGCAAGUCUCGUAAAUUUCACGAUUGCGAGCCACGCUUCACGCAACCGUGUUUGCGUACUUGUGUUUCAAGUUGCGUGGUCGUACGGAGUUAUAUUUACCAAAUUUAAAUAUAAUCGUUUUCAAAAUUAAAUCAAUAUGGCUACUGGGUGUAAAAGAUAAAUCUUAUUCUAUCUGUUCUUAAUGAGUUUUAGAUAAUUUUAGUUGUAUUUCUUUGUAAUUUUGUGUUGUACAAAGAUUAAUUUAACAUUUUCUCUGGAAGUAUUCAUUUAGAAAGAUAAUAUGCUUCAUUGGUGUUGUGUUUUGAAGUGUGAAAUGUGAUAAAGUCAAGAUAAAGUUCACUUUUAAACUGAACUAAAUAAGGUAUCUGAGAGACAACAAUGGUUAAAUGCAAUACAAUGUACAGGUUUUACUAGCGAAAUGAAAAUUUUCCUGUCCUGUCUGCUGUAAUCAUUUUAUAUCUGGAAAACCAGCCGACUUAAUAGAUAAUAACAAUCUCCAGAUUGGGUUCCUUCAAUAAAUAUGGUCUAUAAACACAAUGAAAUAAGUUCCCCAAAAUCUAAAAUGGAGUGGUAUCAAAGGAGAAUUAAAGGGAAAAAUAUUCAUAUUGAAAUUAUUUAUAAGGCACUGGACUGUCUUAAAUUCUACAAUAAUACUAGAAUCAGCUGAGAGAAGUAGUCUACAAAAAAACCAGGAAGGAAACGGAAUAUGUGGCUACGAAAGGCAAAAGAAAGGUUUACAAAGCAAAUGUGACACAUUUUUUUGAAAUAUUUAGGAAUAUCAGUAAAUUGCAUUAAAAAAAUGUAUGAAAAGAUUUUGUUCAAUAAAAAUGUUUAUAUUUAUCAAGGAUGU